GUGGGGAAUCUUCCACAAUGGACGAAAGUCUGAUGGAGCAACGCCGCGUGAGUGAAGAAGGGUUUCGGCUCGUAAAGCUCUGUUGUCGGGGACGAAUGUGCAGUAUUUGAAUAAAGUACUGCAAUGACGGUACCUGACGAGGAAGCCACGGCUAACUACGUGCCAGCAGCCGCGGUAAUACGUAGGUGGCAAGCGUUGUCCGGAAUUAUUGGGCGUAAAGGGAGCGCAGGCGGGAAGGUAAGUCGGUCUUAAAAGUGCGGGGCUCAACCCCGUGAUGGGAUCGAAACUAUCUUUCUUGAGUGCAGGAGAGGAAAGUGGAAUUCCUAGUGUAGCGGUGAAAUGCGUAGAUAUUAGGAGGAACACCAGUGGCGAAGGCGACUUUCUGGACUGUAACUGACGCUGAGGCUCGAAAGCCAGGGGAGCGAACGGGAUUAGAUACCCGAGUAGUCC
rnacentral:rRNA from 1 species